rnacentral:rRNA from 1 species
UAGCCAAGCGAUGGGGUGACGCAGGAAGGUAGCUGGGCCAGUCAGUGGUUGUACUGGUGUAAGCCUGUAGGGCGAACGGUAGGCAAAUCCGCCGUUCAUCAAGCCUGAGAGGUGAUGCGUAGCCGAUUGAGGCGAAUUCAGUGAUCCUAUGCUGCCGAGAAAAGCCUCUAGUGAGUUGUUACACGGCCCGUACCCCAAACCGACACAGGU